CAAUAGCGUAUAUUAAAGCUGUUGCGGUUAAAAAGCUCGUAGUUGGAUUUCUGUCAAGGACAACUGGUCCGCCCUCCGGGUGAGCACAUAGUUUGGUCUUGGCAUCUUGCUGGAAUCUGUUGCUGCACUUGGCUGUGUGGCGCAGUGGCCAGCACUUUCACUUUGAGGAAAUUGGAGUGUUUCAAGCAGGCACAUGCCUUUGGACACAUUAGCAUGGAAUAAUUAGAUUGGGUUUUAGCUCCAAUUUGUCGGUUUCUGGAGCUGAGGUGAGAAUUAAUGGGGAUUGUUGGGGGCAUCCGAAUUUAGCCGUCAGAGGUGAAAUUCUUGGAUCUGCUAAAGACGGACGACUGCGAAAGCAUUUGCCAAGGAUGUUUUCAUUGA
rnacentral:rRNA from 1 species